rnacentral:rRNA from 1 species
UCCGGCCUACGGGGGGCAGCAGUGAGGAAUAUUGGUCAAUGGGAGAGAUCCUGAACCAGCCAAGCCGCGUGAGGGAAGACGGCCCUAUGGGUUGUAAACCGCUUUUGUUCAAGGGCAAGGCACGGUCUUUGGCCGUGUUGAGUGGAUUGUUCGAAUAAGCACCGGCUAACUACGUGCCAGCAGCCGCGGUAAUACGUAGGGUGCAAGCGUUAUCCGGAUUUAUUGGGCGUAAAGGGCUCGUAGGCGGUUCGUCGCGUCCGGUGUGAAAGUCCAUCGCUUAACGGUGGAUCCGCGCCGGGUACGGG